AUGCCUGGGUUUGAUGAUUCAACAAUACUAACUUACAAGGUUGUAGCAUUUCAUGUUGAACUAGAGAACAAUGCUUCGGCCAAGAGUGAGGUUAAAGUUUUUACUUUGGGUGGUAAUUCUUGGAGAAAUAUUCAAAGUUUUCCUGUCAUUCCUCUUGAUUGGUUUAAUUCUAUUGGUGUGCAUGUGAGUCACACUCUUAAUUGGUUGGCUAUUAAUGACUAUUCCUAUUCUCUUUAUGAACCCUACAAUAUUACUCAUGAAGAUGAGAAGAAACAUUUGAUACCAUAG